rnacentral:rRNA from 1 species
GACGAACGCUGGCGGCGUGCUUAACACAUGCAAGUCGAACGGAAAGGCCUCUUUUGGGGGGUACUCGAGUGGCGAACGGGUGAGUAAUACGUGAGUAACCUGCCGGUGACUGUGGGAAAACUUCAGAAAACGGGGGCUAAUACCGGAUAGGAGCUCCGGCUGCAGGGGGGGGGUUGGAAAGUUUCGGCGGUUGGGGAUGGACUGGCGGCUUAUCAGCGUGUUUGUGGUGUAGUGGCUUACCAAGGCUUUGACGGGUAUGCGGACAGAGAGGGUGACGGGCGACAUUGAGACUGAGAUUCGGCCCAGGCUCCUACGGGUGGAAGAAGUGGGGAAUAUUGAUCAAUGCAUGUAGGCCUGAUGCAGCAACGCCGUUUGCGGGAUGGCGGCCUACGGGUUGUAGACCGCUUUCACCCUUAACGCAGCUUUUUGUGACGGUAGUAGGUAAAGAAGCACCGGCUAACUACGUG